rnacentral:lncRNA from 1 species
AGGCAUCCACAGAACGUGAACGUCGAGUGUAACACUGAGGAAAAGAUGGAACAAUGGAAGGAGGAAUCGCUAAAGUAGAAUCGGAGGGUGGCGACGAAGAAGUUACCGGAGAUGAAGGUGUAGAAUCCGGUGACAUACUAGACAAGGAGGCCGUGGAAGAUGGUGGCGACAAAUCAACUGGAGGUGGAGAAGCAGAGGGAGCGGAAUGAGUAGGCAAAGGCUCGACAAGUGUGAUAGGCGUGUCAGGAAAAGUGAGAAAAGAGAUAUCCUCCACUGAAAAAGUCGAGGAAGAUGGGCGUGGGUAGAAGGGACGAGACUCAUCAAAAGUCACAUCCCGAGAGAUACGUAUCCGACGACCGAUAGGAUCCCAACAACGAUAGCCCUUAUGCUCAUCACUAUA